rnacentral:rRNA from 1 species
ACUCCUACGGGAGGCAGCAGUGGGGAAUAUUGCACAAUGGGCGCAAGCCUGAUGCAGCCAUGCCGCGUGUAUGAAGAAGGCCUUCGGUUGUAAAGUACUUUCAGCAGUGAGGAAGGUGGGUAUGUUAAUAGCAUAUUCAUUUGACGUUAGCUGCAGAAGAAGCACCGGCUAACUCCGUGCCAGCAGCCGCGGUAAUACGGAGGGUGCGAGCGUUAAUCGGAAUUACUGGCGUAAAGCGCAUGCAGGUGGUUUGUUAAGUCAGAUGUGAAAGCCCGGGGCUCAACCUCGGAAUUGCAUUUGAAACUGGCAAACUAGAGUACUGUAGAGGGGGUAGAAUUUCAGGUGUAGCGGUGAAAUGCGUAGAGAUCUGAAGGAAUACCGGUGGCGAAGGCGGCCCCCUGGACAGAUACUGACACUCAGAUGCGAAAGCGU